UCUCCGCCUUCCCCCCACGGCGUGGGGGAGCAUCCGCUCGCGCGUCUGGGGAGAACGGAGCCCCAGAAGCCCGUUCCGCCGAGGCCAGGUGCUCCGGGGUGGGGGCAGGUGUUCCGCAUCCCCUGGAAGACGGUCCCAGCCUCCAGUCCAGCUGCCUCGCCCACUUUCAGACCUGGAGAUGAGCCAAGUCGCUUUAAAGGGCAGAAGACGCCCUGAAGCGAGAGCAUUUCCGAGGGAUGGGCGGGGCCAGGCCCUGCUGCACCGCCCCCGUCGCCUCCUCGCCGACUCGCCCUCUGCUCGGCUGGCGCUGGUGCCUUUAAGACCUCAGCGCGCGGCCCUGAUUGGGAAAUCCGCGCGCAGCCUCCGCCGCCGCACACUGUGGUCUCUGCUGAACCCCUGCCGCGCCGCCGGCCUCGCCAGCCCGGCUCGUACCGGCCCGCGUUCCGUUCCUCGGCUUCAACCGGCCUCCGGCCCCGCAACCUCUUCCUCGGCGAAGUCUUCUCCCUGGCCGCCCCAUGUCUGCCGCCCCCGCCUACAGCGAAGACAAGGGCGGCUCCGCUGGCCCCGGGGAGCCCGAGUACGGCCACGACCCCGCGAGCGGCGGCAUCUUCUCCUCCGACUACAAGCGGCAUGAUGACCUGAAGGAGAUGCUGGACACCAACAAGGAUUCUCUAAAGCUGGAGGCCAUGAAGAGGAUUGUGGCGAUGAUUGCCCGAGGAAAGAAUGCUUCAGACCUGUUUCCAGCGGUGGUGAAGAAUGUGGCCUGUAAGAACAUAGAGGUGAAGAAGCUUGUCUACGUGUACCUGGUACGCUACGCUGAGGAGCAGCAAGACCUGGCCCUGCUGUCCAUCUCCACCUUCCAACGUGGCCUAAAGGACCCCAACCAACUGAUUCGUGCCAGUGCCCUCCGUGUCCUCUCUAGCAUCCGUGUGCCCAUCAUAGUGCCCAUCAUGAUGCUAGCUAUCAAGGAAGCCGCCUCGGACAUGUCACCCUAUGUGCGGAAAACAGCUGCCCACGCCAUCCCUAAACUUUACAGUUUGGACUCUGACCAGAAGGAUCAGCUGAUAGAAGUCAUUGAGAAGCUUCUGGCUGACAAGACCACGCUGGUGGCGGGCAGCGUGGUGAUGGCCUUCGAGGAGGUCUGCCCGGAGCGCAUCGACCUGAUUCACAAAAACUACCGGAAACUCUGUAACCUGCUGAUCGACGUGGAGGAGUGGGGCCAGGUGGUCAUCAUCAGCAUGCUCACCCGCUACGCCCGGACGCAGUUCCUGAGCCCCACCCAAAACGAAUCCCUGCUAGAGGAGAACGCGGAGAAAGCCUUCUACGGCUCAGAGGAGGACGAGGCCAAGGGCGCGGGGUCUGAGGAGACGGCCGCCGCGGCGCUCCCCGCUCGAAAGCCCUAUAUCAUGGACCCCGACCACCGGCUGCUGCUGCGCAACACCAAACCCCUGCUGCAGAGCCGCAGCGCCGCGGUGGUCAUGGCGGUGGCGCAGCUCUACUUCCACCUGGCGCCCAAGGCGGAAGUGGGCGUCAUCGCCAAGGCGCUAGUGCGCCUGCUGCGCAGCCACAGUGAGGUGCAGUACGUUGUGCUCCAGAACGUGGCCACCAUGUCCAUCAAGCGCCGGGGUAUGUUUGAGCCCUACCUGAAGAGCUUCUACAUCAGGUCCACUGACCCCACCCAGAUCAAGAUCCUGAAGCUGGAAGUGCUGACCAACCUGGCCAAUGAGACCAACAUUCCUACUGUCCUACGGGAAUUCCAGACCUAUAUUCGCAGCAUGGACAAGGACUUUGUGGCAGCCACAAUCCAGGCCAUUGGACGCUGUGCAACUAACAUUGGCCGAGUCCGUGACACCUGCCUCAAUGGCCUGGUGCAGCUGCUGUCCAACCGUGAUGGUCAGUGUUUGCCUGAAUGUCUAAUCGUGAUGAUCAGAAGAUGCCUGCCUGCAGAGCUUGUGGUUGCAGAGUCAGUGGUCGUCAUUAAGAAAUUGCUACAGAUGCAGCCAGCACAACAUGGAGAGAUCAUCAAACACUUGGCAAAGCUUACAGACAACAUCCAGGUGCCCAUGGCCAGAGCCAGCAUCCUGUGGCUCAUCGGAGAGUACUGUGAGCACGUCCCCAGGAUUGCACCUGAUGUCUUAAGAAAAAUGGCCAAGUCAUUCACAGCAGAGGAGGAUAUUGUCAAGCUGCAGGUCAUCAACUUAGCAGCCAAGCUCUACCUGACCAACUCUAAACAGACCAAGCUGCUGACCCAGUAUGUGCUGAGUCUGGCCAAAUAUGACCAGAACUAUGAUAUUCGCGACCGGGCACGCUUCACCCGGCAGCUCAUCGUCCCUUCCGAGCAGGGUGGGGCCCUUAGCCGCCAUGCCAAGAAGCUCUUCCUGGCACCCAAACCAGCUCCAGUCUUGGAGUCAUCCUUCAAAGACCGGGACCACUUCCAGCUGGGCUCACUGUCCCACCUGCUCAAUGCCAAGGCCACAGGCUACCAGGAGCUCCCAGAUUGGCCGGAGGAAGCCCCAGACCCAUCUGUGCGCAACGUGGAGGUACCUGAAUGGACCAAGUGCUCAAAUCGGGAGAAGAGAAAGGAGAAGGAAAAACCCUUCUACUCGGACUCUGAGGGGGAGUCAGGCCCCACAGAGUCCGCAGACAGUGACCCUGAGUCUGAGAGUGAAUCAGACAGUAAGAGCAGCAGCGAGAGCGGCUCUGGGGAGUCCAGCAGUGAGUCUGACAAUGAAGACCAGGAUGAGGAUGAGGAGAAAGGCAGAGGCAGUGAGAGUGAACAGAGUGAGGAGGAUGGUAAGAGGAAGACGAAGAAGAAGAAGGUGCCAGAGGGAAAAGGAGAAGCGUCAUCCUCUGAUGAGGACAGCGAUUCCAGCAGUAGCACAUCAGAGUCCGAGAUGACAUCAGAGUCCGAGGAGGAGCAGUUGGAACCUGCCUCCUGGAGGAGGAAAACACCUCCCAGCAGCAAAAGGGCCCCUGCAACCAAGGAGAUCUCCCUGCUUGACCUAGAGGACUUCACCCCUCCCAGUGUCCAGCCUGUGUCUCCCCCAGCAAUUGUGUCUACCAGUCUGGCUGCUGACCUGGAGGGCCUGACACUGACAGAUUCCACCCUGGUACCGUCGCUUCUGAGUCCAGUGUCGCGUGUUGGGCGGCAGGAGCUGCUGCACCGGGUAGCUGGCGAGGGGCUGGUUGUGGACUACACCUUCAGCCGCCAACCUUUCUCCGGGGACCCCCACAUGGUGUCUGUGCACAUCCACUUCUCCAACAGCUCUGAUACCCCCAUCAAGGGCCUGCAUGUGGGCACUCCCAAACUGCCUGCUGGCAUCAGCAUCCAAGAAUUUCCUGAAAUUGAGUCCCUGGCCCCUGGAGAAUCUGCCACUGCUGUAAUGGGCAUUAAUUUCUGUGACUCAACCCAGGCAGCCAACUUCCAGCUGUGCACCCAGACCCGACAGUUCUAUGUCUCCAUUCAGCCACCUGUUGGGGAGCUGAUGGCCCCUGUGUUCAUGAGUGAAAAUGAGUUUAAGAAGGAACAGGCCUCUGCCCUCAUCACGACCUCUGCCCCCAGGAAAGCUGAUGGGCAUGAAUGAGAUCACAGAGAAGCUCAUGCUGCCAGACACCUGUCGGAGUGACCACAUUGUGGUGCAGAAAGUGACUGCCACUGCCAACCUGGGUCGUGUUCCUUGUGGGACAUCUGAUGAGUACAGGUUUGCAGGGAGGACACUAACCAGUGGAAGCCUCGUUCUGCUGACCCUGGAUGCCCGGCCAGCUGGAGCUGCCCAGCUGACUGUCAACAGUGAGAAAAUGGUGAUUGGCACCAUGCUGGUAAAGGAUGUGAUACAGGCUCUGACCCAGUGACUUCCAAGUGCUGUGACCUCUUUGGCUCCUAUCUGUACCUCCCCAUGACAUCUGGGCUGUCGGUCCCUCUCACCUUUCUCUCUGUCUCAUCAUCAUCCUCAUGCCAGAUAGCAUUCAGGGUGUCCUCUCUCCCUCGGGAGGACCACGCCUUCCCCUAAUCCCCUCCCCAUGUGUUCCUUAGUGAUCUGUGCAGAGGGAGAUGGCAGUCACUCCCUUCAGUCCUCCCAGCUCUCUGUAGCUAUUUAUGUAACACUCUCAAUAAAAUGUCUUCUCUCUA